CACGAAGGGGGCUAGCGUUGUUCGGAAUUACUGGGCGUAAAGCGCACGUAGGCGGAUUUGUAAGUCAGGGGUGAAAUCCCGGGGCUCAACCUCGGAACUGCCCUUGAUACUGCAAGUCUCGAGUCCGAGAGAGGUGAGUGGAAUUCCUAGUGUAGAGGUGAAAUUCGUAGAUAUUAGGAAGAACACCAGUGGCGAAGGCGGCUCACUGGCUCGGUACUGACGCUGAGGUGCGAAAGCGUGGGGAGCAAACAGG
rnacentral:rRNA from 1 species